rnacentral:rRNA from 1 species
UACGUAGGGUGCAAGCGUUGUCCAGAAUUAUUGGGCGUAAAGAGCUCGUAGGCGGUCUGUCGCGUCGGCUGUGAAAACUCGGGGCUCAACCCCGAGCCUGCAGUCGAUACGGGCAGACUAGAGUGCUGUAGGGGAGACUGGAAUUCCUGGUGUAGCGGUGAAAUGCGCAGAUAUCAGGAGGAACACCGGUGGCGAAGGCGGGUCUCUAGUACGGUACUGACGCUGAGACGCGAAAGCGUGGGGAGCGAACAGG